AUUGAACGCUGGCGGCGUGCCUAACACAUGCAAGUCGAGCGGUAACAGGUGUAGCAAUACAUGCUGACGAGCGGCGAACGGGUGAGUAAUGCUUCGGAAUCUGCCCAUGUAGUGGGGAAUAACCAGCCGAAAGGUUGGCUAAUACCGCAUACGACCUACGGGUGAAAGCAGGGGAUCGCAAGACCUUGCGCUAUUGGAUGAGCCGAAGUCGGAUAGCUAGUUGGUAGGGUAACGGCCUACCAAGGCGACGAUCCGUAGCUGGUCUGAGAGGACGACCAGCCACACUGGGACUGAGACACGGCCCAGACUCCUACGGGAGGCAAGCAGUGGGGAAUAUUGGACAAUGGGGCAACCUGAUCCAGCGACGCCGCGUGUGUGAAGAAGGCCUGCGGGUUGUAAAG
rnacentral:rRNA from 1 species